GAUCACAAGCAGGCCAGCCCACUGAGGAGGCUGUACCCCCUCCAAUCGAGUCAGUGCAUUCAGAUGACCUGUAAUUGCACAACUUUGAGUUGGAGGAGGACCCGCUUCAGAUGACAUGCACUGUACUCCAGGAAAUUGUGCAUCCUUUCCAGCUGAGGCAGGACAUUCAGAUGACCCCAAAAUACUGGCUCUGGGUUGGAGGAGGAUGCACCGGAGGACAGUGACGUUGUCAUCACUGGUGUCCAAUGAGGGAAGGCCUGUGCAGCUUUGCUGAACAGACGGGUGGAGGACUUUAGGGCCGUAUUUCUCAGCCAGCACACAUGGUUGGAUGACAAGGUCAUCGACCACGCCCAGGCUCUUACAAAGAUGCUGCAUCCAUAUAUAGGAGGGUUCCAUGCAACCACCCUCCCUGCCGUCCACUGUACCUACACCAGCUCAGGGGUUUGUGAAGAUUCUUAAUAUCUCUGCAAAUCACUGGAUUAUGGUAAGUAACGUCAGCUGUAAGGUAGGUACAGUUAAUGUUUUUGAUUCUCUAGGGCAGCAUAAGACGGAGGAUUUCAUUGCACAGGUUACAUGCCUUCUUGCCUUUCCAGGGAAGAGUGUCCGGCUGCAGUGGCCUGAUGUCCAACAGCAGGCGGGUGGCUCAGACUGUGGACUGUUUGCUAUUGCAAACAGUCUCACUCUCUGCAGAGGUGAGGAUCCCUCCGUGCUCCAGUACCAUCAGCCUAUGCAGACUCACAUCUUUGCCUCUUUUCCGGCUGGAAUUCUGAUAUCCUUCCCCAGUACUGCAAGGUGCCCCAUAGCCAAGGCAGUCCACGCUAUUGAGGUGAACAUACACUGCCUCUGCAGACGGACCAACCAAAUUGGAAAAGGAUCCUCUGGUCUUCUGCAGGAGAUAUGCCUUUUCCUGGCUCAACUUAAAAGACCCAGAUGUAUAUAUAUACCCGUCAUGCACUGUUAUCUUUCAUGCAUGUUAAUUUUCAUAGUGUUGAGUUCUGUUUUCAUUUCAAAUUAAAGUUGUAUUAAAUGUAAA